rnacentral:ncRNA from 1 species
UUAAACACGAUGAUAGGAAGUAGUAGCAAGUAAGUUUUUUUUAUAGAGAGUCGACGGUUGGUGUAAGUCGAUAAAAAACCUUGUGAAUCCGUCCUGGAGUUGCUCAGCUGAAUCUUUAGUAGGCUGUGGCCGGCCAACAAGCCGUUAUGAAACAAGUGGAUUGCAUUUAGGUGCAAUCAAUUAGGGUGGCAACGCGGGUAUGCUCUCGUCCCUUUC